rnacentral:rRNA from 1 species
GUGCCAGCAGCCGCGGUAAUACAUAGGGGUCAAGCGUUGUCCGGAUUUAUUGGGCGUAAAGAGCUCGUAGGCGGUUCAACAAGUCGGUCGUAAAAGUUUAGGGCUCAACCCUAAAAUGUCGAUCGAUACUGUUGUGACUAGGAUACGGUAGAGGUGGAUGGAAUUCCGAGUGUAGCGGUGAAAUGCGUAGAUAUUCGGAGGAACACCAAUUGCGAAGGCAGUUCACUGGACAUUUACUGACGCUCAGACACGAAGGCUAGGGUAGCGAACAGGAUUAGAUA